rnacentral:rRNA from 1 species
AGUGAACGCUGGCGGUAGACCUAACACAUGCAAGUCGAACGGCAGCACAGUAAGAGCUUGCUCUUAUGGGUGGCGAGUGGCGGACGGGUGAGGAAUACAUCGGAAUCUACUUUUUCGUGGGGGAUAACGUAGGGAAACUUACGCUAAUACCGCAUACGACCUACGGGUGAAAGCAGGAGAUCUUCGGACCUUGCGCGAUUGAAUGAGCCGAUGUCGGAUUAGAUAGUUGGCGGGGUAAAGGCCCACCAAGGCGACGAUCCGUAGCUGGUCUGAGAGGAUGAUCAGCCACACUGGAACUGAGACACGGUCCAGACUCCUACGGGAGGCAGCAGUGGGGAAUAUUGGACAAUGGGCGCAAGCCUGAUCCAGCCAUACCGCGUGGGUGAAGAAGGCCUUCGGGUUGUAAAGCCCUUUUGUUGGGAAAGAAAAGCAGCAGGUUAAUACCCCGCUGUUCUGACGGUACCCAAAGAAUAAGCACCGGCUAACUUCGUG